AGUCACCCGCUGCUUGGCCGGCUCUGCUGCUCGCGGAGCCCCUGCCCGUGCCGCACGCCCGGGACCGCGAAAGCCGGGGCCGCUCCGGCCUGCGCCCGCGCCUCCAGGCGCCAACUUCUCCAUGGGACCGGCCCGAACUCUCCCGAACCGCACUUGGCGGCGCCGCGGCCAAGGUCCCGCGAGGACUUCCCGGGCGCCGCGAACGCUCGCUCGCUCGCCCGCCCGCUCGCUCCGGCCGCCGCCGCCGGGCGGGCCCUGGGUCGGGGAGGGGAGCCCCGAGGAGCCUCCCGAGGCCGCCUAGACUCCCGGGCUCCGGCGGAGCCUCGGCCCCGAGACGCAGGGACGACUCGCGAGCGCGGCGGGCCUCGCCCCCUCCCUCCCCGCCCUCCGCGGGCUCCAGCCUGACCCCUACCUGGCUCCCGGGCGGGGCGUGAGCAGCAGCCGGGGGCGCGGAGGCCCCGCGCGCGACGAGGGCGGCGGGGGUUGGGACGACAGCGGCCCGCGCGGCUCCCACGUUUCCGCUGCAGUUAGGAGUUGAACAUUCCGCCUCUCUGCACGGCGCCAAUGAGGAAGACAGUCACGGCAACAGCACCACCUACCUCCCGGCGCGAAACGGCUGGGCCGCCCUCCCCUCACACGCGCGGGCGAGCGGGGCGUGGGGAAGGCGCUCGGGCCUCCCUGGCCUGCGCCCGGGGGGCACCAUCCGCCCCGCGCCCCGGCACCCGCCGAGGCCCCCAGACACACCUGCCUUGCUGUGGGGGGAGGGCCGUGGGGGUGUUCCCCCUCGCCCCCAGCACCUUAACUCAUCUUUUUGACAAAUUAACACCACCUGCUACUCCUUCAACUCAGUCUUCAACAAACAGGCGCUGGGGACGCAAAGAAAUAGAGGCUGUUUUGUGCCCCGCAAGAGUUAAUUCUCUAGUUGGGAAAGGCACAAACGUAGAGAUUUCUGGGAACAUAGGUCUGAAGGCUGCCUCUCUAGAAAGAUCAGUAGGUACCUCUGGAAUUUUGAGGAGGGGCCGUGGUCUGCUGCUCUAGUUGCUAAUUUUAACAGAGCAGAAUUCAGAAGAGGAGCCAGAGUCCGUUACAGGCCUAAGCCAAAGGUGGAGGUGGGCGUUGGGAAGAAAAGAAAUUUCUGAUUGGGGAGGAUGGUUCUGUGAAGGAAAAGUGAGAGGAGGUUGCAAGGGCAUGGGCAACAUUAUUCAGGAUUUUGAAUUUGAAUUUUAUUAUCCAUGGACACUGGGAGCUGUGAAAAAUUAGAAUCAAAGGGGUGAAAUGGGGGUUUGUGAUUCUGUUUAAAUGGUAAUUUUGAGAGAGUAGUCCACAGUAGUUGUAGGUUGGGUUGCUAGGAUGGAACCAGGAUGAGUAGUAGAUAUUGUCACCACCCGGUUGUGGGAUCAUGAGGACCUGAGUUAGGAUGUAGGAAAUGGAAUUAAAAAGAAGAAAUGGGCUGGGCAUGGUACCUGUAAUCCCAGCACUUUGGGAGGCCAAGCUGAGAGGAUUGCUUGAGACCUGGCUGGGUAACACAGUGAGACCUCAUCUCCAAAAAAAUCAGAAAAUUAGCCUGAUGUGGUGGCAUACAUCUAUAGUCCCAGCUACUCGGGAGGCUGAGGUGGGAGAAUCGCUUGAGCUGGGGAAGUCGAGGCUAAAGUGAACCACAGUCGCGCCACUGCACUCCAGCCUGGAUGAAAGUGAGACUCUGUCUCAAAAAAAAAAAAAAAAAAAAAAAAAAAAAAAAAAGAAGAAAUGGAAUUGAGAGAAAUAUUAAACGUUUCAGCAAGAGGCCACAGAAAUUGGUAACCCACAAGAUUUAGAAGAGAAGAAGAAGAGAGAUGAUGCCAAGAUCUCAGACCUGGAUGACUGGAAGAAUGAUGGUGUCAUUGACAAAAAUAGGAAUACGUGAAAGGGAAGCUGGCUUCAUGUUGAGUUUGAGGUCAUAGGAGUAAAAACAGGUAGAGAUGCAGCAACUGAAAUAUGAAACUGAAAUUCAGGAAAGAGGUCAAGAGUGAAAUAGAAAAUUUGUAAGUCAUUCAAUAGGUUAAAGAUAUGAAAGUUGAGGGAUGAAUGAGUAGAGGUUAAAAAACAAUUUAUUAGUCUGAUUAAUUUGCCCUUUGAUAAGGACUGGAGAUUUUAGCAUUAAUAAAUUUUAUUUUGGUAACUGAGAAAUUAGAAUUGAUGAAAAUUGCCAUGCUAAAAAAAUGUAUAAUGCAGGUCUAAUAAAAUAAUUCAAAUAAUUCCAUCCUAUCCAUUCAAGGAAAAACUAAGGCUCUUUAGCAUAGACCCCAGGCAUAGGAAGACUCCAGUCAUUUUACCUUACCUUCAGAGGCACUUGUUUGUUUUGGAAAGGACCCUAGACUGAGAGUCAGAGAACCUGACUUCUGGUCUUAGAGCUACCAGUUAUCAGCUAGAGUGCUUUGCAGGAUAGGCCACAGUUUCCUCCUCUGUAAAAUAAGAGGGACUAAUUAGAAGUUAGUUGCAGGUUCCAGCUUUAAAACCAUGAAUGUAUUGCUUUAAAUUUGGAACACAUGGCUUAAGAGCAUCAAUAUUUUUAGCCACAUUGCCCUUGCUUCCCAUCCCUUUGCCUUCAUUCUGUUUUCCUCACAUAAUUAGGCCAAGAGAAUAACCAGCAGGAACAAUGAACACUAAAGAUUAGUUUCAGAAACAUGCUUAAAUGAUAAUCUAGUAGACAUUUUCUUGUCUUCCCAAAUAGGUUGCAAGCCCUUUGAGGUCACAUCUUAUAUUGUGUGGUAUCUGCAUAUGUAUUGUCCAUAGCUGAAAUAAAUAUAUAAUGAUUGUAUGAUA
rnacentral:lncRNA from 1 species